rnacentral:rRNA from 1 species
UACGUAGGGGGCGAGCGUUGUCCGGAUUUAUUGGGCGUAAAGAGCGUGUAGGCGGCCAGGUAGGUCCGUUGUGAAAACUCGAGGCUCAACCUCGAGACGUCGAUGGAAACCAUCUGGCUAGAGUCCGGAAGAGGAGAGUGGAAUUCCUGGUGUAGCGGUGAAAUGCGCAGAUAUCAGGAAGAACACCUAUGGCGAAGGCAGCUCUCUGGGACGGUACUGACGCUGAGACGCGAAAGCGCGGGGAGCAAACAGG